rnacentral:rRNA from 1 species
GUGUCAGCAGCCGCGGUAAUACGUAGGGUGCAAACGUUGUUCGGAAUCACUGGGCAUAAAGGGCGCGUAGGCGGUCUGAUAAGUCAGGUGUGAAAUCCCUCGGCCUAACCGAGGAACUGCAUUUGAUACUGUCGGGCUAGAGUACAGGAGGGGAGAGUGGAAUUCCUGGUGGAGCGGUGAAAUGCGUAGAUAUCAGGAGGAACGCCGGCGGCGAAAGCGACUCUCUGGCCUGUUACUGACGCUGAGGCGCGAAAGCUAGGGGAGCAAACGGGAUUAGAUACCCUAGUAGUCC